UUUGCUAGUGCUGAGAAUUGAAGCAAAUGUAACAUCCUUGAUGCAUAGGCAUUGGCUAAAAAGAUGGUGCUAUAAUGAAUGCAAAGAAAUAUCUAUCUGAAAGUCCAAACUGCUGUCUACAAAUCAAGAUAACUUCAUCCUCCUAGUACAAUCUGAGUGACAUCCAAUGUUUGUGGCUAUGACACUACCAUUGAACUAGCCUAGAAUAAUGGUUAGGUACACAUCAGAUUGAUAGAAAGCAACUUAACUGGUUUACUUGAACUGUA
rnacentral:lncRNA from 1 species